UAAAUAUGCAGCGAGAGAGAGAGAGUGAGAGAGAGAGAGAGAGACAGAGAGAGAGAGAGACUUAUCGAUGAGCUAUAAGCUAUAAGCUUAGCUAAAAAUGGCCACUAGCCAUCCUUCUAGGACCUAU